UUUAUUGGGUUCAAAUUGAAUUCAUAGAAUGAAAAGCGAAUGUUUCAAAGAGUCUGUAGCAUCUUUUAGUUGAAUUUUUCGGAGUUACGAUGAAUUUUUGGUGAAUUUUAGGCCCUGAAGCAUUGCGAAAACCCAAAUCCUCCUCAGUCAUCACCAAUCACCAUCUUUGCUGUAGUUGGACUUGGAACCACGCCGACGCAUUUACCCUUAGUAAACCCCAGCAUCCUGCCUUGAGAUUCGUGCUUUUUCUUCUGAUCAAUACCUGGCACUCAAGCAAAACAGAGAAGAAAGCAAGAAACGCCAUCAAAGGCUUUGAUCAAAUCCAGCUUCAGCCUUCCACGGAAGUAGGAUACAAUGGAGGGUGGUGAUGGUGGACGUCAAUUUCUAGACAGUGAUGGUGGUUCUGAUGAUGAAACUUUUGAAAGUUUUCAUGAACAUAAUUACUCUGUGGAAGAUGACAUGCCACUGCAGCAUUGCAAUUUUGUAAAUGAUGGUCUGAUUUCAAUGGAACCAUCCACUGGGAUGAGUUUUCAGUCAUUGGAUGAUGCAAGAGAUUUCUAUUAUGAAUAUGCAAAGCGCACAGGUUUCACCAUUCGAACAAAUCGAAUCCGACACUCGUUAAAGAACAUGGCUAUAAUAGGCCGGGACUUUGUUUGUUCAAGAGAAGGUUUUCGUGCCGCAAAGCAUACACUUCGAAAAGACAGGGUUCUUCCUCCACGCCCAAUCACAAGAGAAGGGUGCAAAGCCAUGAUAAGGUUGGCAGCAAGGGAUGAAGGAAGAUGGAUAGUUACCAAGUUCAUAAGAGAGCACAACCACAAACUAAUGGCUCAUUGUAAAUUUCCUGGGGAGCUGCCAAUCAUCAAUAUACUCAGCGAGGUAGAGAAGGAUAAAAAAAUCCAGGAUCUAUAUGAUGAGCUCCAGCGUGAAAGAGAUCGAUCUGCAGCAUUCCAACAACAGUUAUGCAUGAUUCUCAAGGACCUUGAGGAACAUGCUGAAUAUAUCUCUGUAAGAGUUGAAGACAUUGUUAAGAGCAUGAAAGAAAUUGAACUUCGUGAUCUAUAGCUUUGAAGUCAAGGGAAUGGUGCCAUAUAAUUGAAUUUUGACCGAUUUUGAAAAUUUGAGUAACUGGCUCUGGUUAAAGCUAAACUCCUGAGUUGGCUUAACCAGUUUUGCUGUUGGAAAAUAGCAUGUUGUCAAGAAAGGCAUGCUGGUGACUUCUUGCUGCUUUUCAAGAAGAUGAUGAAUGAACUGGCUAAAGAAAUCUGCAUGAGGAUGUGUUCCCCUGCUAAUAUCGACCUGAAGGAUGCCUAAGGUUAGAAACUUUUGUUUUCAUAUGAUUACUUGAUCUCUAGUACACCUAGCUCUUCCCUGCAAACCCAGUUAUGUUGGAUUUUAUUCCACAAGUUUACCAUUUUAAUGUAAAGGAUGAUAAGCACACUGUAAAUCGAGUUCCACAAGUUUACCUUAUUCAGCUUGCCUACUUUAGUGCUAACCUUGAGCCUGGAAGGUGGCUUGUGUUCCGCUUCAACACUAAGUCGUCUUUGUCCAAGUGUGAACUGCAGAUGACUCUCCUGUAGUUCCAUUCCUUCUUACAAUACUUCUGGGCCAACCAAACCCGAACGGGAAGAAGAGGAUCAGCCAAACAGCAGGCAGCUCAACUUUGUACAUUAUCUGAGGCAGACCAAUCCAUCAUUUUUCGAUGAAAGGUCAAAAUUUGUGUUUUGUUUCAUUACAUUGCACAGUUGUUCUGAAGGAUGACAAUCAUAUGCCGCAAUUCUAGCUCUAAGAUUGAGACUGGCAUUCAGUGUGUCUCCUUUUAUACGUUACUUUUAGCGGACGUACAUGUGCACUGAGUUUAUAAUAUUUGUACAUCUAAAUUCUGUAUUCUAAAUGGUCAAUCCUAGACUCGUACUCAUUGUGGAUUUGUAACAACACGUGACAUGCCAUGGGGAUUUAUUGUGAAAUACAA